AGGGUGGUGGUGUUUGGGUGGGUUAAGUUUCUUCUAAGAUGGUCUACCUGUUGGGAAACUGUUUUAUGUCUCUACCCAAAGACUGACUAUUGAGUGUCAGGAGGAAAGGGAGAGACUGCAAUGCAAUCUGUGAGCCACACCAGGCUGCCCUACCAGUGGUUGUGUGCCUAGUAGCCCCCACUCCCAGCCCGACUCAUUUCCAGCUCCUAGGGGGGUUUGUCACUUUGCUGGUUAUUGCUAUGUAUCCAUCCUGAAGUGGCAGCUCCAGUUGUGCUUCCCCAGUAAUUUCCAAGAUGCUAAUUGCCACCUGCUGAUUUCCUGCAAUGUUUGCUCACAAAGCUGAAUUCGCAAAAUGGCAGGGAAAACACAAUUACAAGAUAUCAUAAACUGCAAGUUCACAAACUGUAUAAACAACAACCAGAGUCAGCCAACAAUUCACCAGCUAAAUUCUAGAACUGAGUAUGAGGAAGGCAGCCUCUCCAAAGGAGACUGAAUGACAGGUGCUUGUGUUCCUUGAGGAAACCAAACCUGAAAACAUUUUCAAAGGUUUUGGGGAAAGUACAUUCUCUUUAGAUCCAAGAUCAACCUUGUAGGAGUGGGCUGGUGGCUCAGUGGGUUAAGGAUCCAGGGUUGUCACUGCUGUGGCAUGGGUUCGAUCCCUGGCCCAGGAACUUCCACACUUACAAAAUUAAAAAAGAAGGAAGGAAGGAAGGGGAAAGGGAAGGGAAGGGAAGAGAAGAAGGGAGGGAAGGAAGAAGGAGGGGAGGAAAAGGAAAGAAGGAAGGAAGAAAAGGGAAGGGAAGGAAAGGAAAGAAAAAAAAGAGGAGUUCCCAUCAUGGUUCAGCAGAAACUAAUCUCACUGGUAUCCAUGAGAAUGCAGGUUCGAUCCCUGGCCUUGCUCGGUGGGUUAAGGAUCUGGCCUUGCCGUGAGCUGUGGUGUAGGUCACAGACGUGGCUCGGGUCUGGCGUGGUUGUGGCUCUGGCAUAGGGCAGCAGCAACAGCGCCAAUUAGAUCCCUAACCUGGGAACCUCCAUAUGCUACGGGUGUGAAGACAAAAAGACAAAAAGACAAAAAAAAAAAAAAAAAAAGAAAGAAAAGAAAGGAAGGAAGAAGGAAGAAAUCAACCUUGUGCUAAAUCCUAGCUCUUUCAAUGACUACCUGUAACAUCCAUGCAAAUUACUUGGGCCUUCAAACCUGCAUUUCCUCACCUGUAAAAUGGAGAUGGUAAUUUCUAAGUUACCUAAGAUAGCAUGUAAAUGCUUAUUACAUGUAUUAGUCAGGAUUGUAUGGAUUGUAAGUGACAGAAACUUCAUUCAAAGUGGUUUCGGUAAAACAAGAAAUGUAUUGGCUCAAAAUAUGAAAAAGACCAGGGCCUCCAGCUUUUGGUCUAUGAGCUCAAAUGACGACUUUAGAACUCUAAGGCACCCUCUCCACCCUUUGGCCCUGCUUUCCUCUGUCUGGACCUCACUCUCAGGUAGCCUUAUCUUUGGCAAGCUAGUAGACGAGCCAACAGCUCCCUGCAUAUGUCUUAUCUUCUCAGCAACUACAGAACUGGGAGAGCUAGCUCCUCACUUGGGAAAUGACCCACUAGCCCAUUCUCAGAUCACAUAGUUGAGUAGGGAAGUGUCUACUCCCUUACACCUACUCAAACCCCGGAAAUACACACAUAACCAGCCACAUACACAGAGACACAGCUGGACAUCGGCCCCCCAAACCAAAUGAGAAGGCUGAAGGGCAGCCAGCCCCAUUUGACAUUGUUCAUAAGAGGAAAAAAAAAAAUCAGAAGUCCAUCAUCGGGAUCUGAGUCCCAGGACUGAUACUCAACCCUCAGUAUAAGCAGAUGUGCUGAGGGACAAGAGAGAGAAGUCUCCUCAACUCUGAGGAGCUGGUCAGCCCUUCCUGCACACGCUCACAUGGGAUGCACUGGCUUCAGUCCUAGGCCAACAGGGGAAAGGGGGUAGCUCACAGGCUCGGACCCAGGCACAUAUGGCCAAGGUAAUCAUUUGCCUUUUUCUGUUUCCUCCUCUCUGAGAGCUUACUGCCUUUUCUACAAGAAAUUCUCAUAGUAUUCCAGCCAGCAGUCCUGGUCUUGAAGGUACAGGGCCCAUUGCUCUACCUAAUCACCAGCCCCUUUAUUUGGCUUUGUCCCCACAACGGCAAGAUGGGGCCCUCUGCCCCUUCCUUUCCCUUGGUCCACCUCAACUUUUCCUUUGACAUAGAGAGGGUCUUUAUUAUUUUCAGGGGGGCUGCACCUGCAGCAUAUGGAGGUUCCCAGGCUAGGGGUCAAAUUAGAGCUGUAGCCACCAGCUUAUGCCACAGCCACAGCAAUGUGGGAUCUGAGCCACAUGUGCCACCUAUACUACAGGUCACAGUAAUGCUGGAUCCCCAACCCACUGAGCAAGGCCAGGGAUUGUAUCCACAUCCUCAUGGAUACUAGCUGGAUUCAUUAACCACUGAGCCACAAUGGGAACUCCAAAGAGAGUCUUUAGAGUUUGAUAAUGUAUCAAAGUUAUCCUAUGAGAGCUGAUGCAUAUUAGCCACAGGGUUUCAUGGUCUUUAGGUAUCUUGCUCUAAAAAAUAUGAGAAUCCAGGGAAAAUGGGGCUUCUCAGGACAGAUUAAAAAGAGCAGGUGUAUACAAAGGCCAGAGAGCUUACUAGAAAAGAAUGGAGGAACAGAUGCCAAGAUAAAGGGGGCUUCCUGGUGUCUACGAGAGGCAAACAUAGCCUGACUGAAAAGGAAUACACAUAAAACAGAGUGGAAAUAUCAGUAGCAGCAUCUAGACACUGGACUCCCUUCCUGACCAGCUAUGAGGAAUACUGAAGUUCUCUGCCUGGUGAAGUGAGCUUAUUCACCUUGUCACUGUGGGUUCAAGUAACAGAGUUGGAUACAGUAUAAAGUGAUGGAAAAGAACACAGCCUUGGAUUCAGACCACCUGGAUCAGAACCCAGGAUCCUCCACUCCACAGCAAAAUCAUCUUGGGCAUGUUACUUGACUUCCCUGUGCCUCAGUUUCCUUGUUGGUAAAUGAGGAUAAUAAUGGCAUCUUCCUCCCAGGAUGACCAUGAGAAAGAAAUUAGUUCACAUCUACAACUAGCUCCUAAAAACUGAAAUCUGGCUCAUAAUAACACUGAAUACAUAUUAGCAAUUCUACAAGCAGCAACCUGGACUCCUUUCCUUCAGGGAAGUAUUCUCCAUGUCUACAGCUACAUGGUUGAUUGGGUGAUUACCCAGGGUGAGUGUUGGGUCUCUCCAUGGACUCCCCAGAAGCAAAGUGGGAAUAUCAUAAGGGGUAUGGCUUGCACCCAAGGAGUUUUUUUGGUUUUUUUGUUUUUUUUUUGUCUUUUUAGGGCUGCACCCAUGGCAUAUAGAGGUUCCCAGGCUAAAGGUCGAAUAGGAGCUAUAGCUGCUGGCCUACAACACAGCCGCAGCAACACCAGAUCCAAGCUGUGUCUACACCGGUUCCUUAACCCACUGAGUGAGGCCAGGGAUCGAACCUGUGUCCUUAUGGAUGCUAGUCAGAUUCCUUUCAGCUGAGCCACGACGGGAACUCCCCCAAGGAGUUUUGAUUUCCUUACAAACUUGCUCUUGUGCAUUUGAUUUUCUGAUGGGGAGGGAUUUUUCCUGUUUGUCAGUCCCGGAACAAGCCCUUCUGUUGGCUGACUCUGAAAAUGGGGAAAGGUCGGCAGCACACUUUUCUUGCCUUCAGGCUAAGAAGACUCAGCACCGUCAAUUACAAGAGGUGAGCUGAGUUGGUCACAGGAGGGCAUAAAUGGACAUCAGGCUCUACUAACAAUGAGGAAGCAGCAUCACAAAGCAGGCACUGGGGUCAGUGACAGGUGCUCCCAGAACUCCAGCGGCAAAGGCUAUAGAACUUGGAAGGGUUAUCAUCCACGCAUGGAGAUGAGGAUGGAGAUUAUCUACAGCCUGGCUCAAGCAAACUUUGCUGAAGGCUUGUUUGCAGCUGUUGUAGCUCAGGGUAUCUCGUCAAGGUCAUCUUCACAUUCGGCAUCUCCAACCUCCUUCUCCUUCGCCAAUGGAACCACUCAGGGCACUCUGGUCCAUUGCCUGUACUCUACUCCCACUCACCUCCAGAAGAUUCUUUUUUCUCUAUCAAGUCAAUUCCUGCUCAUUCCUCAAGUUUAACUAAAUUUCAGUCUCCUUCAGAAAGUUUGCUUUGACCCACUUUCAAACACACUGAACUGACAGAAUCAGGUGGAAUUAUGCACUGUCUUACGGCAGCUCUUCUACCAAAGCCUUGCAGGACAGCAAAAAAAAAAAAAAAAAAAAAAUCAUUGGUUUUACCUGUAUAGCAUCCUUUUUUAUUUUUUAAAAUUUUAUUGGAGCGUAAUUGACUUACACUUUGUUAGUUUCAGGCGUAAAGCAAAGUGAAUCAGUUGUACAUAUAUCCAUUCUUUUUUUCCCCAUAGAGGUUAUUACAGAAUAUUGAGAUUUCCCCAUGCUAUACAGUAGGUCCUUGUUAGUUAUCUAUUGUACAUACAGUAGUGCUUAUAUAUUAUUCCCAUACCUACCUUUUUAUAUUAUAGUUGAUUUACAAUGGUCUGUCAAUUUCUGCUGUUCAGUAAAGUAACCCAGUUAUACAUAUUAUUUUUUUUCUCACAUUAUCCUCCAUUACGUUCCAUCACAAGUGAUUAGAUAUAGUUCCCUGUGCUUUAGUCCUUCUUCUGGUAGCAGAAGAUUUUUCUUUGGGAGAAAAGCCUUUCCAAAUUCUUGGUCCAUGUAGCUGCUGGAGGAGGUCAUCAAAAAGACAUGACUGCCUGUUUGUUGCCCCUCAAGCUGGACCAGGGCAAUCAGAGGCUCCUCAGCCCCUUCCCCUGUCCUUGGAAUGUGCCUUCUGCCCACCAGUCCCACAGGGGGAGCCGUUUCAAGGAUGCAGCCUUG
rnacentral:lncRNA from 1 species